UACGUAAGGGGGCUAGCGUUGCUCGGAAUCACUGGGCGUAAAGCGCACGUAGGCGGAUUGUUAAGUCAGGGGUGAAAUCCUGGAGCUCAACUCCAGAACUGCCUUUGAUACUGGCGAUCUCGAGUCCGGGAGAGGUGAGUGGAACUGCGAGUGUAGAGGUGAAAUUCGUAGAUAUUCGCAAGAACACCAGUGGCGAAGGCGGCUCACUGGCCCGGUACUGACGCUGAGGUGCGAAAGCGUGGGGAGCAAACAGGG
rnacentral:rRNA from 1 species